AAAGAGAGUGUCACGAAGAAGGGAACUGCUGUCAUCAUUAGCUUGGAAUGGAAUUUGUAUUUUGACAAAAGAUGCAGACAUUUUAAGACCCGGAAUGCUCACAAAAAGGACAAGAGCUCAGAGCUGUAUGGAAAUUUACACAAAGGGUCAGUUAACAGAUUUUGCAAAUAUGGAGGAUAAAUAUAUCAAAG